rnacentral:rRNA from 1 species
UGGGGAAUCUUGGACAAUGGGGGCAACCCUGAUCCAGCCAUGCCGCGUGAGUGAAGAAGGCCUUAGGGUUGUAAAGCUCUUUCAACGGUGAAGAUGAUGACGGUAGCCGUAGAAGAAGCACCGGCUAACUCCGUGCCAGCAGCCGCGGUAAUACGGAGGGUGCGAGCGUUAAUCGGAAUUACUGGGCGUAAAGCGCGCGUAGGCGGUUGCUUAAGUCGGAUGUGAAAGCCCCGGGCUCAACCUGGGAACUGCAUUCGAUACUGGGCGACUAGAGUACGAGAGAGGGAGGUAGAAUUCCACGUGUAGCGGUGAAAUUCGUAGAUAUUCGGAGGAACACCAGUGGCGAAGGCGGCUCACUGGCUCGAUACUGACGCUGAGGUGCGAAA